GAAAUGAUUAUGAUACAUUGAGUAAUCUCUGAGAUUUAUAUCUACAAAUACACGAUCGGGUAUUUCAACCAUUCAAUACUUUCCACAAUUUGGCACAAGUGUUUCAUGUCAAAUUCGAGAUUAUGUUUGAUUUAUGUCUGCAUAUACAACAUUUACUCAAGUCCAUGUCCAUGCCACACGAGGGGAGGAAAUGCGACCCUCCGAUUAACUGUUAGCUUUUGGCACCGUUCAUCAUCAUCAGCAGCGACAGAAACAAUAAAAUCAAAUAAAAAUCUUCAACGCCCACUUAGUUAUGGUCGUUAUCACUCCAUUAAGAAUGAACUGUGAAUAUUAAAUAUUGUGUUAAAAAUAUUGCUAAAAGGCGAUACUAAAUGGGGGAGCAUUCACCGAUUCUUGGAGUUGUGGAAAGCAUUUGAAUAAAAACUAGAACUGCUAGACCGAGAGCAGACUAGCGGUGGAACUCAGCACCCAACUGUGGGAUCUCACGCUCGCUCUGGCCCCAUUACGACCCUUUCUGAGUGUCAUGAAAAGCCCGGUUCACCAUGACCCCCUAUAGCCUACAGAAAAACCCAGUAUUCUACGGAUGAGCCAAUUGAAAUCUUCGAAAGGCC